ACUACUACUAGUAGAAUAACAUCGUCAGCGGUCAGCCAUUGUCGUGAGAUGUGAAGAUUUUUUUUGUGAAAGAUUAAGAUCAAAAACUGGAGAAAUUGUUACAGAUUGCAGAAAUGCAUACAAUCCCGGAAUUAGGUACAAGUGUACCAGCGUUCCUUGCCAAACUUUGGAAGUUGGUCGAAGACUCUGAUACGGACGACCUUAUUUGUUGGUCACCUAAUGGAAGGAGUUUUUUCAUUAGAAAUCAGGCACAAUUUGCCAGAGAAUUAUUGCCACAUUAUUACAAACACAAUAACAUGGCCAGUUUUAUCAGGCAGUUGAAUAUGUAUGGUUUUCACAAGAAAGUUUCUGUAGAAUUUGGUGGUUUAAAAUGUGAUAAGGAUGAAAUGGAAUUUGCACAUCAAUUCUUCUGUAAAGGUCAUCCAUAUCUUGUAGAACAUAUUAAAAGAAAAAUUGCUUCUAAUAAAGGACAAGAUCCAGCACUUACUCCUAUUAAACCAGAACUAAUGAACAAAAUGCUUACUGAAGUAAGAAGUAUGAGAGGUCGUCAAGAACAUUUAGAUUCAAGACUUGGAGCCAUGAAAAGAGAAAAUGAAGCACUGUGGCGAGAACUAGCAAUGCUUAGACAGAAGCACCUUAAACAACAACAAAUUGUUAAUAAACUUAUACACUUUUUAGUUACAUUGGUACAGCCUUCCAGAAGUGGUGGUCUCUCCGUUAAAAGAAGAUACCCACUAAUGAUCGACGAUUCUAACCGUCAACGUAACAAACAGGCAAAAUUAUCAAAGUCACAAACAUCACCGGCGGGUCCUGUAAUUCACGAACUCGAUUCAUCAGAACCGGAUCUAGAUUCGGAAUAUAUUGUUGCAGAAAUGUUGGAGGGACAUUCAAACCCAGCUAUUGAAAGUCCUGAGCAUAAUAACUCAUCAAUAAUGGAAGACAGCAAUAUGGAAACAAUUCAUUUAGUUGAUGAUUCUGUUCACUUACCAGAUGAUAUACAACUUAUUAAUUCUCAAGAAACUGAAACAAAGAAAAAACGUGGAUGUAAGGGUAAAAAGAAGAGGAAAAACAAGGUGCCGGUCAAAAUUUUUAUCCCAUCGACGGAGGAUGGAGAGGAACCAAGGGAAGAAACACAUUUGCUUGAAUUAGACGAUUCGCCGGUGAUCGCUUUACUGAAAGAUAAACCAGCCUCAAAGGCAGUACCUCUGUCAACUAUGCGUAGUCCGAAGCUCGCAGCAAUGGCAGCUAAUAUGAACAAAGUAACUAAUGUAAAUUGUGAGCUUGAUUUGGUAACUUCAACAGAUAUGGAGGAAGAUGUUCAAGAGAAUAAUCCAACCCUGGUAAAACUCGAAGAUAUUUUAAUAGUACCAGAAAUCAUCAACGAGGAUGUUGAAGGCACCGAGAACGUCGAGUUUAGUGAAAACAAUAGCAAUUCUAAAACCAAUGCCACUUUCAAUCAACUUAACAAAGUAAAUGAUAACGCUGAACAGAAUAACAAAAAGAAUUCUUAUACGAAUGGUGCUGAGAAAUGUUCGAAGCAAGACAAAGACAACUGCAAUGGAGCAGGGACAAGCAAUUCAAAAGAUUUGUCAUUGAGUUGCAUCAUUCCCUCGGGCAUGUCUGAUGCUGCUUACAGGUUAGGAUCAAUGGAGGAAAUGGAUAAUCAUCUCGAAACAAUGCAAACAGAAUUGGACAAUCUCCGCGAUAUUCUACGAUGCGAGGGUUAUAGUAUCGAUGCAAAUACGCUUCUUGGUUUAUUUGGAGCAGAUGAUCCAAUGUCAUUUGGUAUGCCAGUUAAUCCAGAAUUGAACCCACAAUCUGAGAAAGAAGAGGAAAAUCAUGCUAAUGUUGCAGAAAAUAAUAAUGGAACUGGUGGUGGUGAACUUAUGGCAUAUAAUCCUGUUCAAAACUUCUUAGAUUUCGACGAUGACAUUUUCUUGGAGGCCACAUCUCCUCCAACUAACACAGCAGGUGGUGAUACAGCUGUAAUCAAUCUUUAUAGCUCGGAUUCUCUCGAUUUGGAGGAUAGCAAAUUUUCAUUUCUGAAUUCCUUAACAAAUGAUGUGAACACUUCAUCAUAAAGUCUCAUUCCUAUGCUAAUUAUUCUACAGCAAUCGGACACUUCAUUAUUUUAUUUAUUUAGCUUAACAAAAAAAAAAUAUUCUUUAUCAGGCUAAAAUUAACCGAAAGCAAAGUACAAAUUAUCUAUACCUCUUAAAAAACGAACAUAGGAAUAAUCUAUGGAUGGAUCAUUGAUAUUUCAGUUACACUUAAAUAAAGCUUUGGGAGAAAGACUGCUGGAUUUUUAAUCACCUUAUUGGUAAUGUCUUCGUUUUAAUUAGUGAAUAUGAUGCUAUGGUAAACCCUGUAACAAGUUUAGUAUGAAGGGGAUGAUGUAAAGAAUUGAAGAGGUACACACAGUGGUUCAUGCUUAAAAUUUCUUGAAGAAGGAAAUAAACAAGAUAAAGAGCCAAACGAUAUAAAUCUAGAAAUCGGAAAGAACAAUUUAUCUUCGUGUUGAUGAAGAUAGAUACUAAACAAAUAAAAACGUAUUCUACGAACUAUUAUUGAAAGAGUAUAUAGCGUAAAAAGAGCAAAAACAAAUAUGCGCGUAUCGUGUAUGUAUCAACAAAGGGCUGUAAUUUCCAGUUUCACCGACUUGUACAUAAUUACGCAGGAUUCUGCAUUGAUAAAAAAUAUAGGAUGUUUCCUAAAAAUGUCCAUUACCUGAAGAGUAACAAUUUUUUUACAUGUGUAUGUAAUGCACAGUAUUAGAUUAUAAAUGAAUUAAUUCUAUGUUGUGCGGCAUAUACGCUAAAAGGUGCACAGAUGUAUGUAUAUACAAAUUUAUACAUAUAUAUAUGCAAAAAGUGAGCAUGUUAAAGGUAUAAAAUUUGUUUAAUAAUGUCAGUCUAUUUUUCCGUAAAUGUCCUUUUAUUGUGGUAUAAGGUUUAAACAAACCUAAAAAGUUGAAACAAAGUUUAAACAAAGUUAAAGGUGAUAGUACAACCUAAGAUUUCAGUGUCUAGUUCCACUAUCACUCUUUUUGUUGUGUAAAAGAUUUUUCUUUGCUUUUAAUCAACACUUUUUCAUAUAUUUAACACGUUGACGCCAGCGCCCGGAUUUACUGUCUGCUUCGUGGGGCAGCGCUGGCUCACUACCUAUUUUGUGAAAUACAUGUGUGACCCAUCGCCGCCCCUCGGGACAGACACGUGUAAUCCGCUGAUGGCGCACGCCGGCGUCAACGUGUUAAUCUUCUAGAUUUCCUUUUUUCAAUCCUACCUUUUAAUUUUAUUUUUCUAAUUUUUGUUUUGAGUGUGUUAAAGGCUAUGUGAAAGUAAUACCAUUGAUAAGAAUAUCUAAUUAGUUUUGUAAAUGAAUUUGAUCAUAGAGGGUGAAUAAGUAAGUAGGGUGUUAAGUAAUUAUUUAGAAUAUUUAUGGAAUCAAGAUACUUAACUAAAUAAUUAAUCCAUAUUUUUGUUGUAUAAAUCAAAAACAUUUUUUUUAUUUUCAUUCUGAAAUAAAAAUUAUGUUCAUUCACACGUACAAAUAUUUGUAUGCAGUAGAUAGUUCAAAUCAAUAAAUGUCUUUCACCAAACACUGAAAUCUUAAUGUUGAAUCUUUACAAAAUAAAUUGAGUUUGUGUAUAUCAGAAAAUAAUAUAAACAGAAUAGUACACUGUAAUCUUUGUUAGAUUAACAUGUUAUUUUAAUUUAGUAAUAAGUAGAUUUUUUUAUAUUCAUUUGUGAAGAAAAACACCAUAUAUUACAAAUUCAUAAAAAACUUAGCAUAUGUUAUAUAAUUCCAUAUACAGUGAAAUGUCAACCAUACAUUUAUGUAGUUUACUUUUCUUUACAUAUUACAAUAUUUCAACCUUACAAAUAUUUCAACACACUUCAUAAUUUCUUAGAUUUAACUCAUUUAAAUUACUUAUCUAUGUGUUAACAUUACUUUUAUUAUGUAAUUAUUAAGCGUCUGUUAAUUAAUUUACAAUGCAAUAUGUGAACAAUUUAAGAAACCUUUUUGUUCAAAAUAUUUAUCAAAGAAAAUUGUUAUUGAUCUUCUAUGGGCUAACUUUUAAUUUUUUUCUAUUAAUCUAAUAGAAAGUCAUUAGUCAUUUGAUUAUUAAGUGUAUGUACACUUUAAAGAAUGUUUAUACCAAACGAUUAUUCACUUACUCAUGGAAGAUCAAACUACAAGAGUGUAACAAAAUCAAAAUAAUGUAUCCUGUACAAAAGUAUAGUUGAUACUACACUACUUGUAGGUACUCAAUUUUGUGAUACAUUAAAGUUUUGUACAAAAAGGUAGGGUUGGUUAAAAACGGGUGACGAUUCCUCCUUUUCUGGUCAUAAAUUGUAUGUUUUGCUGUUAAUUAUAAAGAUACCAUUUACAAUAGAAUUAAAGGAUAAAUUAAAAUGUAUCUAAACGUCUGGAGGAAAUCAUUGAGAAACAAACUUGCAAUUUUUAUUUACCGACAUCUAUUUUCUAAAUUCAAUAACUAUACUCUUAUUUUUACUAUAUCACAAAAGGAAAUUGACUUUAUUCUGCUGUCUAUAACUAACGUUAUCACAUGAUAAAUAUAUAUAUUUAAAAAAGCGGCGAUCGAUUAAAAAUAUUAUAAUAUCUUUGAAAACCACAAUUUUAAUCGAAAUUACUUUAUUCGACACAGACAAGUUUUUAACUAUUAUUAAAAAUAAUGUUAAAUUUGUUUGUUUCUAAAUAAAAUUUAGAUCAUUGUUUACAUAAUCUUAUUAUAUAUCCUAACUCGAACGAUCUAUCCUUAUAUAAAUAUCAUACAUGAAUUGUGUACAAUAGUGUGUAUCAUUCAUAAAACUUUCAAAAAUUUUAUACUAUUUAAAAGUACUCGAAAAUCUCCGGUGCGUUAACGAAAUAUAUAUUACAUUAUUAUGUUCAAAUAAUAAUAUGCUGAGCAAUUUGCUAGAAGAAGCAACUUGAAUAAUAUUAUUUUUUAUAUAACGAUAAGGAUAUAAUCUAGACUAUAAGUUUUUGAGGAGCAAAUCUUACAUUAUGUGCGAAUAAACAAAUUGUAUUUAUAUUUUAUAGAUUUUUUUUAAUGGUAGCAUUUUCACAAAAAUAUUUCAAUUUAAAUUUCAGUAUAGAAAUUAUUAACAUUGUUUUUGUACUAUAUGUAUGAAGUUAUUUUAUGUACAAUGAUUUGUUUAAAAAUACUUUCACCAUUUCAAUUGCAGCUAUUAUCUACUUAUUAGUUAUUGUCUAAAAAAAGAAUCUUUAUUAAAUUUCUCGAUUUAAUAUAUAAAAAUUCCUAAACUUUUAAGUUAUUUUAAUUUCGGAUAGCUGAGCUAUGAAUAUCUGAAAAAGUGAUGAAUCCUUAAAACGCGUAUGAAAUGUUAUACAUAAUUAUUAUUUUUAUCAUUUCUGUAAUACUUACUGUAAUACCAAUUAAAUUGUACCAUAAAGCAGAAUAAAAUUCGUUAUAAAAUCGUAAA